ACGGGAGGCAGCAGUGGGGAAUAUUGCACAAUGGGCGAAAGCCUGAUGCAGCGACGCCGCGUGAAGGAUGAAGUAUUUCGGUAUGUAAACUUCUAUCAGCAGGGAAGAAAAUGACGGUACCUGACUAAGAAGCCCCGGCUAACUACGUGCCAGCAGCCGCGGUAAUACGUAGGGGGCAAGCGUUAUCCGGAUUUACUGGGUGUAAAGGGCGUGUAGGCGGAGCUGCAAGUCAGAUGUGAAAUCCCGGGGCUCAACCCCGGAACUGCAUUUGAAACUGUAGCCCUUGAGUAUCGGAGAGGCAAGCGGAAUUCCUAGUGUAGCGGUGAAAUGCGUAGAUAUUAGGAGGAACACCAGUGGCGAAGGCGGCUUGCUGGACGACAACUGACGCUGAGGCGCGAAAGCGUGGGGAGCAAACAGGAUUAGAUACCCUGGUA
rnacentral:rRNA from 1 species